rnacentral:rRNA from 1 species
AACGAACGCUGGCGGCAUGCCUAACACAUGCAAGUCGAACGAGCCCCUCGGGUCUCGUGGCGCACGGGAGUGUAACGCGUGGGAACACGCCCAUAGGCUCGGAAUAACCCCCCGAAAGGGGUGCUAAUCCCGGAUAAUGUCUUGGGGCAAAAGAUUUUUCGCCAUUGGCUGGGCCCGCGUUGGAUUCGCUAGUUGGUAGGGUAAAAGCCUACCAAGGCGACGAUCCAUAGCUGGUCUGAGAGGAUGAUCAGCCACACUGGGACUGAGACACGGCCCAGACUCCUACGGGAGGCAGCAGUGGGGAAUAUUGGACAAUGGGCGAAAGCCUGAUCCAGCCAUGCCGCGUGAGUGAUGAAGGCCUUAGGGUUGUAAAGCUCUUUUACCCGAGAUGAUAAUGACAGUACCGGGAGAAUAAGCCCCGGCUAACUCCGUG